rnacentral:rRNA from 1 species
UACGAAGGGGGCUAGCGUUGCGCGGAAUCACUGGGCGUAAAGCGCACGUAGGCGGAUUGCUAAGUCAGGGGUGAAAUCCUGGAGCUCAACUCCAGAACUGCCUUUGAUACUGGCGACCUUGAGUCCGGGAGAGGUGAGUGGAACUGCGAGUGUAGAGGUGAAAUUCGUAGAUAUUCGCAAGAACACCAGUGGCGAAGGCGGCUCACUGGCCCGGUACUGACGCUGAGGUGCGAAAGCGUGGGGAGCAAACAGG